rnacentral:rRNA from 1 species
UGGGGAAUAUUGCACAAUGGGCGCAAGCCUGAUGCAGCCAUGCCGCGUGUGUGAAGAAGGCCUUCGGGUUGUAAAGCACUUUCAGCGAGGAGGAAGGUGGUGAGCUUAAUACGCUCAUCAAUUGACGUUACUCGCAGAAGAAGCACCGGCUAACUCCGUGCCAGCAGCCGCGGUAAUACGGAGGGUGCAAGCGUUAAUCGGAAUUACUGGGCGUAAAGCGCACGCAGGCGGUUUGUUAAGUCAGAUGUGAAAUCCCCGGGCUCAACCUGGGAACUGCAUUUGAAACUGGCAAGCUAGAGUCUCGUAGAGGGGGGUAGAAUUCCAGGUGUAGCGGUGAAAUGCGUAGAGAUCUGGAGGAAUACCGGUGGCGAAGGCGGUCCCCCUGGACGAAGACUGACGCUCAGGUGCGAAAGCGUGGGGAGCAAAACAGGAUUAGAUACCCUGGUAGUCCACGCUGUAAAACGAUGUCGAUUUUGGAGGUUGUGCCCUUGAGGCGUGGCUUCCGGAGCUAACGCGUUAAAUCGACCGCCUGGGGAGUACGGCCGCAAGGUUAAAACUUAAAUGAAUUGAC